rnacentral:tRNA from 1 species
GGAGCCAUGACUCAAUUGGUAAAGUGCCUACUUAGCAAGUGUGAGGCUCUGAGUUCAAACCUCAGUAUCCCCC